CUCCUGGGAAGUCCUCGUGUUGCAUCCCU
rnacentral:rRNA from 2 species